rnacentral:rRNA from 1 species
UACGUAGGGGGCAAGCGUUGUCCGGAAUCAUUGGGCGUAAAGCGCGUGUAGGCGGCUCGGUAAGUCCGCUCUGAAAGUCCAGGGCUCAACCCUGGGAUGCGGGUGGAUACUGUCGGGCUGGAGUGCGGGAGAGGCGAGUGGAAUUCCUGGUGUAGCGGUGAAAUGCGCAGAUAUCAGGAGGAACACCAAUUGCGAAGGCAGCUCGCUGGAACGUAACUGACGCUGAGACGCGAAAGCGUGGGGAGCAAACAGG